rnacentral:rRNA from 1 species
UACGGGGGGGGCAAGCGUUGUUCGGAAUUACUGGGCGUAAAGGGCUCGUAGGCGGCCAACUAAGUCAGACGUGAAAUCCCUCGGCUUAACCGGGGAACUGCGUCUGAUACUGGAUGGCUUGAGUUUGGGAGAGGGAUGCGGAAUUCCAGGUGUAGCGGUGAAAUGCGUAGAUAUCUGGAGGAACACCGGUGGUGAAGGCGGCAUCCUGGACCAACACUGACGCUGAUGAGCGAAAGCCAGGGGAGCAAACGGG